UUGACGGGCCCGCACAAGCAGCGGAGCGUGUGGUUUAAUUCGAUGUUACACGAAGAACCUUACAGGGUUUGACAUGCAAGUGGUAAGAAGCCGAAAGGUGACCGACCCUUCGGGGAGCUUGCACAGGUGCUGCAUGGCUGUCGUCAGCUCGUGUCGUGAGAUGUUCGGUUAAGUCCGCUAACGAGCGCAACCCUCGCUGUGUGUUAUAUGUGUCACACGGGACUGCCGGUCUUAAGCCGGAGGAAGGUGGGGAUGAUGUCAAGUCAGCAUGGCCUUUAUAUCCUGGGCUACACACACGCUACAAUGGCCAACACAAUAGGUUGCUAAGCCGCGAGGUGGCGCCAAUCCAUAAAGUUGGUCUCAGUUCAGAUUGUAGGCUGCAACCCGCCUGCAUGAAGAUGGAGUUGCUAGUAACCGCAGGUCAGCUAUACUGCGGUGAAUACGUUCCCGGGGCUU
rnacentral:rRNA from 1 species